AUGUCGUCCUCUUUUAUAGGCACAGAAUUCCUUGACAACGUAUGUGAGGUUUGCCCUGAUGGAACCUUCUCAGCAACCAACAUGUCAUACACCUGUCAGCCAUGGACCAGGUGUGAAGAGGAAGGGAUGAGAGAAGAAAAGGCUGGGACAGCCACUUCUGAUGCAGUUUGUGUACAAAGAGGCCUUUCUACCACAGCGAUAGCAGUGCUAAUAGUCCUUGCUCUCUCACUUUUAUCUGCAUUUGCUGGAACAGUGUUCUUUUUAUGGAGGAGGGGGAAGAGGAAAUAUGGGGGAACACGUAAGUCAGAAAAGCGUGGGACCUGUGAAACCCGUCAAAAGGUCUCUAAAGGGGUCAGAUUGGCAGAAUUUGUAUUUGGCACAUUGGUCUAUGUUUCACCCUGGAACAUGCCAACCUGUAACUGGAAUUGCCUCUUCAAACUGAGAAUCCCUGUGAGAGUCUAAAUCUAUCUUCUUUAUGGGGUUGCCUUUAAGAUCCACUGGCCCUAAAUUUGACUUACUAAUCAAGGUGAACUGGCUGGUCCCCAGUCCAGGGUGCUGUGCUAUCACACCAGCUGCAGUGGACAAGCCCCCUGCCCAGCUUGGGAAGAUCCUCUCCCCCCCACAAAUCACGGCCAAAACCGGCCUUUUUCCCAGGCCAGAUUCCCCAGUGGCUAGAAAUACCAGCUGUUCACAUUCUCCAAGCAACCUGGACCAGUUCUCCUCUCCUGAUGAUCUUUCCCGCUUGUAUCUGAUACGUGCUUACAAAGUUCCCUUUUCAUUCUCUGGGGGAGCAGUGAUGUUAAUGGAACGGGAGUUUGGGCUCUACUCAUAACCUGCUACUGCUGCAGAAAUCAGCAUCUCAGUUUUGCCCCAUCAUUUAUCCACCAAGAGAGGAACGUGUUCUCAGGUCCAAGAGAGAACAUUGUUUACUGGUUCUAGCUGGGGACUGGGAAUCAGGACGCCUGGAUAAUAUUCUCAGCUCUGCCGAUGACCAGAGGUGUGAAUUUUGGCAAAUCGCUCAAUUUCCCUGUGCCAUAGUGUAGCUGUUUGACAUAAUGCCCCCUUAUCGGGUUGUGUGGUUUGCUGUUUGCAAAACUCUUUGAGAUCCUUAGUAGUUAGGUGCUGUAUCAAUGCAAAGCAUUGUUAGAGCCCAAAAUCACAUUGGAUUAGCAUUGUCACCUAACCACCUUCCUCUCCCAGCGGGGUGAUCCCUCAAGAUGCUGCUAAGUGUAGUGCAAAGCGCAGUUACUGCACCGUGGGGCCACAUUCUGUGGAUGAUCACACACAUGGCCCCACUGAAUCGAAGAGAGCUGUGCCUGCGUCUAAGAGCAGGACUUGGCUCUGGGACAUUAAUACAGAAACGUGUCAAUACAAAAUGCACCAGACUGUUUUCUGAUGAGGUUGUUUCUUUUUCUUUGCAGCUGCACAGGAGACAGGGGUGAGUUGUCUGGUCUUUUAUUUACUAUGCACAAGCACCUGGAGCAGGGGUUUGCUUGAGUGUCUCUGCCAUGGCUAUGUCAGCUUGCCGCAAGAGAGAGAGAGUGUGUGUGUCUGUGUGUGUCUCACUAUGUGACUUUGGAGCUAGUCACUUAAACAUUAUGGUCCAGAUCCUCAAAAGUAUUUAGGCUCUUAAUGUCCAUUGAUUUUAAAGGUAUUCAGGCUCCUGAUUUCAAUGGAAGUUUGGAGCCUAAAUAUCUUGGAGGAUCUGGGUAAUUAUGCCUUACUUUCUGCAUCUGUAAAAUGGGAAAAAUACCUACCUCAGGGGAUACCAUGAGACUUGACUCUUCCCCCCACACUUACACAUGCAUACCCUGUGGCUGUGCAAGGCCCUGAAAGCAACAGAACCAAUUCCCUGGGCUGUGCAUAGAAGCUCUCCCGUUGGCGUAGUAGUGUCUUCACUAAAGCGCUACAGCAGCUCAGGUGCAGCUGUUUAAGUGUAGACUUUCCCUUAAAUUCAUAACUCUGCUAGAUACUAAGGGCUUGUCUACACUGGCUGGUAGCUACACCCCUUGUGGAGGUGGGUUUUUUAGAGUACUGGAAGAGCUCUCUCCCAGCGCUCUGCCGCGACCACACAAGUCACAGUAAAGCGCUGCCAUAGCAGUGCUUCACCGUUGCCUGUGUAGACUACCCCUAACUCGUAGACUCCGCAGAGACACCGGUUGUACCAGUCAUUACAACCGUUUGUAACCUACUAACCCUGCUUUGUCCUCUGACUUGCAGAGGUGUUAAUUGCCCACUUUGUUUAAAUGGUUUAUUGCAACAUGUGUUAACUGCUUAUGCUUAACAAUCUGUCCCACCUUUAGCUGUUACACCCUGGAAAGAGAGCUCUGGGAAGCUCAAAAGCUUCUCUUCCAUCAACACAAUAAAAUAUAUUCAAGAAAAUAUAUUACCUUACGU
ensembl:lncRNA